GACGAACGCUGGCGGCGUGCUUAACACAUGCAAGUCGAGCGGAGCGGCGAACGGGUGAGUAACGCGUGAGUAACUGCCCCCCUCUCUGGGAUAACAGUUGGAAACGGCUGCUAAUACCGGAUAGUGGGGGAUGACUCGCGUCCUAUCAGCGUGUUGGUGGGGUAGUGGCCUACCAAGGCGACGACGGGUAGCCGGCCUGAGAGGGCGACCGGCCACAUUGGGCUGAGAGACGGCCCAAACUCCGACGGGAGGCAGCAGUGGGGAAUAUUGCACAAGGGGGGAAACCCUGAGGCAGCAACGCCGCGUGUAUGAAGAAGGCCUUAGGGUUGUAAAGUACUUUCAGCGGGGAGGGGUUAAUACCCUUGUCAAUUGACGUUACCCGCAGAAGAAGCACCGGCUAACUCCGUGCCAGCAGCCGCGGUAAUUC
rnacentral:rRNA from 1 species